rnacentral:rRNA from 1 species
GUCUUUUUGAGUUAUUUUAAAAGUCUGACCUGCCCACUGAAUUAUUUUAAAUGGCCGCAGUAUUCUAACUGUGCAAAGGUAGCAUAAUCAUUAGUCUUUUAAUUGAAGGCUGGUAUGAAUGGUUGGACGAAGUAUAAGCUGUUUCAUAUAAAAUUUAAUUAGAAUUUUAUUUUUUAGUAAAAAAGCUAAAAUUUUAUUAAAAGACGAGAAGACCCUAUAAAUCUUUAUAUUAUAUUAUAUUUAAAUUUUUUUGAUUUAUUUUAUUUUUAUAAAAUAUAGUAUUUUGUUGGGGUGAUAUUAAAAUUUAAUGAACUUUUAAUUAUUUUUAAAUCAUUAAUUUAUGAUUUAUUGAUCCAUUAUUAGUGAUUAUAAGAUUAAGUUACUUUAGGGAUAACAGCGUAAUUUUUUUUGAGAGUUCAUAUCGACAAAAAAGUUUGCGACCUCGAUGUUGGAUUAAGAUAUAUUUUUAGGUGUAGCCGCUUAAAUAUUGAGUCUGUUCGACUUUUAAAUUCUU